GAACUGCAUCUUUCCCGGAGGGCAGCGCCGGCUAGCCACGGAGUCCCAGGGCGGAGUACCCCCUAUGCCCUGCAGUCCGAACAAUCGAUUCCGACUCAUCGGACGUCUCACGUCGAUUUACCAUCUCUAGCACAAAUCAAAACAAAACAAAAUUAUGUUUACAUUAAGCAACUAAGACAAUUCGACGAAAUUGGUGGCUUCGAUGUCCUUGCCACGACGCACCCACCCAACCUUGGGUGCCCCAAGAGAGAUGUGGGAGGCACACCCCAUCUCCGGCAGACCGGAGUCUAUUCCUGGUGGAUUAGGAUUGGCUCAUCUCCCCGCCCAAGAAACUUUAAGGCCGAUCUCAGACCGUCGCCCAGAUGAGAAGCGGUCAAAGCGGAAACAACCGAAAGGGAAAUUUUUAGACGCUCAAAGUUCCAAGUGUCAGGCAAAGUCGCCGCACGGCACUAAAUUUGGAGGCGUUUGCCAGCCGGGUCGCCUAAUCUUGAGGAGCUCCAAGGGAAAAGAAGGGACGUGCUAAUAAGGUAAGUACGCUAAACAAAUCCCACAAGUCAUUAAAUUUCGCGACCCAAUUUAGAUGUAGUUGGACGCGGGCUAGGGUUCGGGCUUGAGCCUCUAAAUUUAGAUUAGAUUUCACAAGUUCAACGUCGGAUGUGUUGAAACUGCAGCAGAAAAAAAAACGCUGACGGCGAAAAACCAGCGCGAGUCCGCACGGAGCCAGUUGGUCCGGAGGAUAGCGCAGCGUAGCCGGAGGCAGUGCGUCGGUGGACUUGGAGAUGACCACGUGGCCAGCGCGGGCAUUCGUUCCCGGAACGGACUCACCGAGGGAAUCUCCGUAUCUGGCCGUCUUGGCGGCAGUCGCUGUAGCUGCUGGCGCUUGAGGCUGCUGCUGCUGCUACUGAUCGCUGCCAAUGCGGCCAAUGCUGCUGCUGCUGCUGAUGCUGCUGCGGCCAAUGCUGCUGAGGCCAAUUCUGCGACGGCUGGUGGAUGACGACCAGGUUAGGUCCGCCUGGUAAGUUUUCACUGCCCAAAUCUUUAAAUUUCCGGGGCCCUUUAGUUAGGGUCCCCGGCGGCUUCAAUAUAAAAAAACACUGUAAUUUACAAGUUCCGGACUAAUAAAUAAACACUCACUUUGAGUUAUUUAAACACUAAUCACGAACUUAAAUUUUGGGUUUUUUUCUGACCGUUCUCCUACUACUUCUUGCAGCAACUAAAGCAAAACCCUGACCUACACCAAAGUCGCUCGCCAUGUUCCCUCCCGCUCUCUCAAGAUGGGUCAGCGAACGUAUUCAAGGCCAUCUAACCCAGUUAACGAGCGAACCGGGCUAAAUUUAAAUAGCUAGAUCCUCUCCCGCUAUCAAUAGUCGGUAUCACGACCAAAUCUUAUCGAUAGCGGAACCUGCU